AAGUUUAACGGGAACUUCGGGUUUUAGUGGCGGACGGGUGAGUAACGCGUGAGAAUCUGCCUUCAGGAUGGGGACAACAGUUGGAAACGACUGCUAAUACCCGAUAUGACGAAAGUUGAAAGAUUUAUCGCCUGGAGAUGAGCUCGCGUCAGAUUAGCUAGAUGGUGUGGUAACGGCGCACCAUGGCGACGAUCUGUAGCUGGUCUGAGAGGAUGAGCAGCCACACUGGGACUGAGACACGGCCCAGACUCCUACGGGAGGCAGCAGUGGGGAAUUUUCCGCAAUGGGCGCAAGCCUGACGGAGCAAUACCGCGUGAGGGAGGAAGGCUCUUGGGUCGUAAACCUCUUUUCUCAGGGAAGAACACAAUGACGGUACCUGAGGAAUCAGCAUCGGCUAACUCCGUGCCAGCAGCCGCGGUAAUACGGAGGAUGCAAGCGUUAUCCGGAAUGAUUGGGCGUAAAGCGUCCGUAGGUGGUUAUGUAAGUCCGUGGUUAAAGCGUGGGGCUCAANCCCAUAACGGCCAUGGAAACUACAAGACUUGAGUAAAGUAGGGGUAGAGGGAAUUCCCAGUGUAGCGGUGAAAUGCGUAGAGAUUGGGAAGAACACCGGUGGCGAAAGCGCUCUACUGGACUUAAACUGACACUGAGGGACGAAAGCU
rnacentral:rRNA from 1 species